AUGGUGAGCUGUUCAGCAUUCCCUACGGAGACCUGUCAAGAUGCUCUCACAGGCCCAGCUUCUCUGGAUACUAGUGCUUUGGAUUCAAGGCUCCUAUGGCCAAAUUGUUUUGACUCAGACUCCAGAAUCCCUGUCAGUGUCGCCUGGACAGAGAGUCACCAUCAACUGCAAAGCCAGUACCAGCAUUAGCAACUACUUAGCCUGGUACCAACAGAAAUCGGGACAAGCUCCUAAGCUCCUUAUCUAUGAUUCUACCAACCGUGUCUCUGGGAUCCCAGACCGGUUCAGUGGCAGUGGGUCUGGGACUGAUUUCACUCUCACAAUCAGUAGCGUUGAAGCUGAAGAUGCUGGAGAUUAUUACUGUCAGCAACGCCAGAGCUUCCCUCUCACAGUGAUACGGACCAUUACAAAAACCUCCCUGUAA